AGCGAACGCUGGCGGCAGGCUUAACACAUGCAAGUCGAGCGGGCAUCUUCGGGUGUCAGCGGCGGACGGGUGAGUAACGCGUGGGAACGUGCCUUCUGGUUCGGAAUAACUCAGGGAAACUUGAGCUAAUACCGGAUACGACCUUUUGGGGACAGGGUUACUGCCGGAAGAUCGGCCCGCGCCGGAUUAGCUAGUUGGUGGGGUAACGGACUACCAAGGCGACGAUCAGUAGCUGGUCUGAGAGGACGAUCAGCCACACUGGGACUGAUACACGGCCCAGACUCCUACGGGAGGCAGCAGUGGGGAAUAUUGGACAAUGGGAGCAACCCUGAUCCAGCCAUGCCGCUUGAGUGAUGAAGGCCUUAGGGUUGUAAAGCUCUUUUAUCCGGGACGAUAAUGACGGUACCGGAAGAAUAAGCCCCGGCUAACUACGUGCCAGCCGCCGCAGUAA
rnacentral:rRNA from 1 species